CCAAACUCAACGGAAGCAGCAGCAAACCACUCAGCCUGCCGGCAAACCUCCCCGCAAUGGAAGACACCCCGUUCGCGACGCGCUUCACCAACGGCCUCCGCAGCCUGGCCUCGGCGGACUACCCCUGCAACGUGCCGCAGACGAUCGACAAAAGAGUGGUGACCACCAUCAGCUUGAACCUGCAAGACUGCCCCGAAAACCAGACGUGCAAGGGCUACUUAAACAGGCGAUUCUACGCGUCGAUGAGCAACCAAUCCUUCGUCCGCCCCUCCAUCUCCAUACUGGAGUCCCCACUACCGCAACCUCGGGGGCCACUACACGUCGGAUUUCCCGGACAAUCCACCCCACAUAUAUAACUACACGGGGGUCGACCCCGUCGCCGAAGAACAUGAACACGGAGUUCGGGACGCGAGUGCUGCAGGUGGAGUUCGGCAACGAAGCUGGAGAUGGUGCUGCAGGACACCAACCUGCUGAACCCGGAGAACCACCCGAUCCACGUCCACGGCCACAACUUCUUCAUCGUGGGGCGGGGGUUCGGGAACUUUGACGCCGCCAAGGAUACGAAGGGGUACAAUCUGGUGGACCCGCCUGAGAGGAACACGGUGGGGGUGCCGGUGGGAGGGUGGGCGGCGAUUAGGAUCAACGCGGAUAAUCCGGGUGUGUGGUUCAUCCAUUGCCAUCUCGAGGAGCACACGUCGUGGGGGCUGGCGAUGGGAUUCAUUGUUAAGAGUGGGAAAGAUCCUACGCAGUCUUUGCUUCCUCCCCCAAAUGAUCUGCCUGUCUGUUGAGUUUUUUGAGUUGUAGCUUUGCUUGUGUACAUUCAGAAACAAAUUGCGUGAUGAGAAAUGACAACCGCCUCCGAUUUUCCACUCGAUUAACAAGUAUAUAUGACAUUUUCUAUUGCAUUUGUGGAUCAAGGAUAUGUGACAAUCUUAAUUAAGGGUCUAUGCUCAGUAAUUAUGGUGUAUAUUUGGAUAUCAUCUAUAAAAAUAAUAAAAUAUUUAGAAUAGAAAAUCUGAAUUACAAAAUUUUGGUAGUCAAACUUCACUACUUUGGAUUGAUUUUCUCUUUCUUUCCAUCUAAAUUUGUGGGAGCUAUUUUUCUAUAAUAGUUUUAAUUGAUUACAUUAAUUUACUAGCAUGAUUAAUACUAAUAAAUUACCAUAAAUUUACAAAUUAUAUAAAUUUGGUGUGAGUUUUUAAAGUUAAAUCUCUACUGUUUAAUUAUGCAGACUAGCAUUUGCACCCCGUGCGAUGCACGGAAAACGUUUUUAUAUUUUUAUAUAUAUAAAUUAAUACCAACUCAAUAAUCAUAUUUAUAAAUAUAAGAAAAAAAUUAAUUUUCACUUAAUAUAUUUGAGUUGAAUAUUUAAAAAAAUAAAAAAAUAAAGAAAAGUUCACAAUAAUAAAAAUUGAUAUUGUGAAAAGGCAUAAAUAAUAAGUAAAAAGAAUAAAAUAGAAAAAAUUGAUUUAUUCAAAAAAAGAGGAGAGAUGAGAGAGAAUUUUUAAAAAUAAUUAAUCUUUAAAUAAAUAUAACUCUCCAUUUUAAAUCAAAUAUUUACAUAAAAAUAUAUCAAAUUAAUGCUCUUAUCAUGAUAUUUAAUUUGAUAUAUUUUAUAAACAAUUUUAAUUUCACAAUUUUAGAAAGAAAUAAUAUUAAAAAUAAGAACACAAAGAAAAAUUAUAUUGUACAAAUAAAACUUCAAUUUUUUAUAACUACAAAAUUACCACUUAUUAAUUUUGAAAUCAAUUUGAAAUUGAAAAUUAUCUUCUUAAUAUAUUAUAAAUUAUUAUAUAAAUAUAAAUUUAUAAAUUAUUUAUAACCAAUGCCUUAUAAAUUGUGUAUAUAUACACAUAUAAACAUAAAAUUCAUAUGGAUUAUAAACGUGGUUAUGCAAUUUUUCUUUUUAAACGUGGGGUGUGUCCAUUUUUUAAAAUUAUGGGUUAUGCAAUUUUAAUUGAGUUAGUUACUUAAUUUUUGAAUAUAUACAAUAAGUCAUUAUUUUUGUAAGAAAUCACAAAAUUGCCAUCGAAAUCAAUUUGAAAUCAAUUUCUAAUUGAAAACUGCUGUUUUAAUAUAGUAUAGAUGUUGAGUAAUUCAAACUACAAAAAGUCAAGUGAAUAAACUUCCAUUUGAUUAUCUCAAUUAUAUAUGUAUAACUUGACAGUAAAUAUAACAAAGAUAAUACUUUAAAAUUUGAUAAAUUAAAAUUUUAAAAUUAUCAAGACACUUAAAUAUUUUAAUUAUUUGAACUAAUUNGCUAUAAAAAUUAAUUUUCACCAUUCAAUUUUUGAUCCAUUUAUUAUAUUCCGAAUUUCUGAAUUUGGCUUUCUGAAUUAUUAAAUUGGCUUUUCUGAAACCCCCAAAUCUUAAAGACGAAAUUUGCUUUUUGAAUUUGAGAAAUUUGUAGACAAAUUUUUAUCGUUCACUUUUAUAUUAUAGUUUUGGAUUAUUUUUCUCUAACAAAAAAUGAUGACGCCGUAUCUAAGCGUCGAAUUGUCCACAUUAAAAUUCUAGCAUUCCAAGUCAGCUUUAAUUUGAGAAAAAUGAAAAACAUUUUAAAAAUUGAAUUAGUUUAAAGUUCAUGUAUUUAUAACUAUGUAUUAUUAAAGUUUAUGUUAAAUACCAAAAAUGAGUAAAGUUCAUGUAUUUAUAAUUAGAAUAUAAAGUUCAUAUUAAAUUUCAAAAAGUGAGUAAAGUUCAUGUAUUUAUACACCAAUUACCCUAAUUAAAUUAAAUAUAAAAUUAUUAGGCAAUUUUAACAAAACAAUGUCAAGUAAUAGACAAAAAAUACAAAUUAAGUACCAAAAUUAUAAAAUAAUUAUAAAAAUAGUUACAAAAUUAUUAAGUACUAGUAUGGUUGUUUAAUUGUAAUUAUAGGAGUAUAAUUUUUCCCAUAUCUCAUUCAACCCACCAUAAUUACAAGUAGAUCUAUGAGACUUAUACAUGUUAAUGCAGACACAUUCAUCCAGAGCGUGGAGCAGGGCAAGACUUACAUACUAAGGAUCAUAAAUGCUGCCCUGAACGACGAGCUCUUCUUCGCGGUGGCCAACCACACUCUAACCGUGGUCGAGAUCGACGCCGUCUACACCAAGCCCUUCACAACACCCGCCAUCAUGAUCACCCCGGGCCAAACAACCACCGUUCUACUCACGGCAGACAACCCCGGCUCCACCGGCGUCUUCGUCAUGGCGGCAAGGCCUUACCUCACCUCAGUCUUCCCCUUCGACAACUCCACCACGAUCGGAUACUUGCAAUACACAACCAAACUCAACGGAAGCAGCAGCAAACCACUCAGCCUGCCGGCAAACCUCCCCGCAAUGGAAGACACCCCGUUCGCGACGCGCUUCACCAACGGCCUCCGCAGCCUGGCCUCGGCGGACUACCCCUGCAACGUGCCGCAGACGAUCGACAAAAGAGUGGUGACCACCAUCAGCUUGAACCUGCAAGACUGCCCCGAAAACCAGACGUGCAAGGGCUACUUAAACAGGCGAUUCUACGCGUCGAUGAGCAACCAAUCCUUCGUCCGCCCCUCCAUCUCCAUACUGGAGUCCCACUACCGCAACCUCGGGGGCCACUACACGUCGGAUUUCCCGGACAAUCCACCCCACAUAUAUAACUACACGGGGGUCGACCCCGUCGCCGAGAACAUGAACACGGAGUU
rnacentral:lncRNA from 1 species